GUGGCUGUAGCUCAGUUGGCAGAGCACCGGGUUGUGGUCCCGGUUGUCGGGGGUUCAAUUCCCCUCAGUCACCCA
rnacentral:tRNA from 1 species